rnacentral:rRNA from 1 species
CCCUUAGAUGUUCUGGGCUGCACGCGUGAUACACUGAUAUUGCCAAUAUGUCAUUCUUAUCCGAAAUGGAUUGGGUAAUCAAGUAAUGAAAUUUCAUGCUUGGAAUCGGUAAUUGCAAUUUUAUCGUGAACGAGGAAUUCCUAGUAAGCACUAGUCAUCAGCUAAUGUUGAUUAUGUCCCUGCCCUUUGUACACACCGCCCGUCGCUACUACUGAUUGGGUGUUCAAGUGAGAUGCUUAGACCCUUGUUGCAUGGUUCAUUAUUGUGCUCCGAAAGGAAAAAGUUUCAAGCUUGAGUGUCUAGAGGAAGUAAAAGUCGUAACA